rnacentral:rRNA from 1 species
GCAGAACGCGAAGAACCUUACCAGGGCUUGACAUAUACCGGAAACACCCAGAGAUGGGUGCCCCGCAAGGUCGGUAUACAGGUGGUGCAUGGUUGUCGUCAGCUCGUGUCGUGAGAUGUUGGGUUAAGUCCCGCAACGAGCGCAACCCUCGUUCUAUGUUGCCAGCACGUUAUGGUGGGGACUCAUAGAAGACUGCCGGGGUCAACUCGGAGGAAGGUGGGGAUGACGUCAAAUCAUCAUGCCCCUUAUGUCCUGGGCUUCACGCAUGCUACAAUGGCCAGUACAAAGGGCUGCGAUACCGCGAGGUGGAGCGAAUCCCAAAAAACUGGUCUCAGUUCGGAUUGGGGUCUGCAACUCGACCCCAUGAAGUCGGAGUCGCUAGUAAUCGCAGAUCAGCAACGCUGCGGUGAAUACGUUCCCGGGUCUUGUACACA